rnacentral:lncRNA from 1 species
GUGCCCCUGCACAGGGGCGGAAGGGGAGGCCCGGGAGCCGGGGAGCCGCGGAGGCCAAGGGCCAGGCCGGCCAGGCCCCAGGGCAGGGCGGGGCGAUCCCAGCGUGCGGCCCUGAGGCACUGUCCCCACACCGCUCCACACUGUCCCGAAGCCCCCGAGCGCCAGCCCGGACCCCCGGGACACGCCCCCCACCACACACACACACACACACACACACACACACACACACACACUCCCCCCCCGACCCCCGGACACACACCCCCACCCCCCCCUGCACCCCCCGCACCCCCGACCGCUGGGACACCCCCCACACACUCCCCUCCCCUCCAGCAACGCGCGGCGCUCCCAUCCCCCGGCAGCCCACCAGGUGGCGCUCGCUCCCCCAUUUCCCCCCCCCCCUCCCGCGCCGACGCCCGUGACGUCAGCCGCCCGGCUCCAUUUGAGCGCCUCUCGGCAGCCGAGAACUCGGACUUCCCGUGUGGCUCACAACAUAACUACUCGGCGUUGCUUCUACAGUGGCUGUGGCUCGACCCCUGGCCUGGGAACUUCCAUAUGCCGCAGGUGCGGCCACUUGUUUUGCGCUCCCGCUCGCCUCCCCGGCCCUCCCGCUCGCCUCCCCGGCCCGCCCCGGGCCCUUUCGCCUCGCCUUUUGCCCCGGCUCGCCCGCUGCCUUCGCCUGCCU